rnacentral:lncRNA from 1 species
CCUCAGUCUUCCCACAUAUGUGCUAUGGAGUCAAGAAUCUCUUCAUUUCAGUAAGACUUAAGAUUACAACCACACAAGUUUGUAGAGCAAAUGAAUCCUUGUGAGAAGCCAAAUCUGAUGAAGUUUAAUCUUCUUUCUUUUGGACUUCUUGCUGUGCAUUAUCUGAAAUAGAUAUGAGAAGGGAGUGAAAUGCAUAAAUGCAUCCUUAGGAAGUUUUCGACCAUACUAAACUGGCAAGUGUUGUUGACUCUCUGGAGGAUUGACAGUCCUUGCAGAAGGAUCUAGAGAGCUUGGAGAAAAGGACUAUCAUCAAUGACGUGAAGUACUACAAUGACAAAUGCCAUGUUUUUCACCUGGGAUGGAGUAAUUAUGUAUUACAGAUUGGGAGAUGAGUGGCUGGAGAGCAGCUUAGCAGAAAGGGAUGAAAUCAUAAGCCUCAUGGAUGAGGAAAGAAGGAGUGGAUAUUGUCUUCCCGAAUUCACUGAGACUUUUAACCCUGUCCUCUGUCAUUAAAUCAUAGAGAAUCUGUAAAUCUACAGAUUGAAUCAGCAGACAAUAAAAUGGAUUUGAAACUGUAUGAAAAUCUGGAUCCAUAGGGUAGUCGUCAACAGUGUGAAGUCUAGUUGGAGGGUGGUAAUGAGCAAAACAUCUUAGGAAUCAUUAGUGGGUCAAAUCCUGUUGAAUAUCUUGAUUAAUGAUCUAGGCAAUGAGGUAGAACACAUCCUUAGUAAUUUCACUGCUGAUAAAUAAAUAAAUAAAUAAAUAAGAAUAGAGGGAAUUCUAGAGAGAGAGUUCACUGGAGUGCCACAAAG